rnacentral:tRNA from 1 species
GGGAGCAGAUAGGUCCUGGUGGGCCUUCUGGUCUUCAAAACCAGUAUCGGAGGCAAAACCUCCGGGGUGGGUUCGAUUCCCACAUGCUCCCGCCA